CAGUCGCCGCGGGAAUACGAAGGGUGCAAGCGUUAAUCGGAACUACUGGGCGUAAAGCGUGCGUAGGCGGUGAGUUAAGUCUGCUGUGAAAUCCCCGGGCUCAACCUGGGAAUGGCGAUGGAGACUGCAAGGCUAGAAUCUGGCAGAGGGGGGUAGAAUUCCACGUGUAGCAGUGAAAUGCGUAGAUAUGUGGAGGAACACCGAUGGCGAAGGCAGCCCCCUGGGCUAAGAUUGACGCUCAUGCACGAAAGCGUGGGGAGUAAACAGGAUUAGAGACCCGCGUAGUCCCUGUCUCUUAUAC
rnacentral:rRNA from 1 species